CCUACGGGAGGCAGCAGUGAGGAAUAUUGGUCAAUGGCCGGAAGGCUGAACCAGCCAUGCCGCGUGAAGGUCAGUGCCCUAUGGGCGUUAAACUUCUUUUGUGCGGGAGCAAUAAUGGUCACGUGUGGCCAGACGAGAGUACCGUACGAAUAAGCAUCGGCUAACUCCGUUCCAGCAGCCGCGGUAAUACGGGGGAUGCAAGCGUUAUCCGGAUUUAUUGGGUUUAAAGGGUGCGUAGGCUGUGAGGUAAGUCAGCGGUGAAAUGCCCCCGCUCAACGGGGUGAAGUGCCAUUGAUACUGCCUGGCUGGAAUGCGGAUGCCGUGGGAGGAAUGUGUGGUGUAGCGGUGAAAUGCAUAGAUAUCACACAGAACACCGAUUGCGAAGGCAUCUCACGAAGCCGCGAUUGACGCUGAUGCACGAAAGCGUGGGUAUCAAACAGGAUUAGAUACCCUUGUAGUC
rnacentral:rRNA from 1 species